AGUAACACGUGGGGAACCUGCCCCUAAGUCUGGGAUACCAUUUGGAAACAGGUGCUAAUACCGGAUAAUAAAGCAGAUCGCAUGAUCAGCUUUUGAAAGGCGGCGUAGGCUGUCGCUAAGGGAUGGCCCCGCGGUGCAUUAGCUAGUUGGUAAGGUAACGGCUUACCAAGGCGACGAUGCAUAGCCGAGUUGAGAGACUGAUCGGCCACAUUGGGACUGAGACACGGCCCAAACUCCUACGGGAGGCAGCAGAG
rnacentral:rRNA from 1 species